rnacentral:rRNA from 1 species
UACAGAGGGGGCGAGCGUUGUUCGGAAUUACUGGGCGUAAAGGGCGCGUAGGCGGCCAACUAAGUCAGACGUGAAAUCCCUCGGCUCAACCGGGGAACUGCGUCUGAUACUGGAUGGCUUGAAUUCGGGAGAGGGAUGCGGAAUUCCAGGUGUAGCGGUGAAAUGCGUAGAUAUUGGGAGGAACACCAGUGGCGAAGGCGGCUCACUGGACCGGAACUGACGCUGAGGCGCGAAAGCGUGGGGAGCAAACAGG